rnacentral:rRNA from 1 species
AAUGGGGUAAACCCUGAUGCAGCGACGCCGCGUGAGUGAUGAAGCCCUUCGGGGUGUAAAGCUCUUUCGACGGGAACGAUUAUGACGGUACCCGGGGAAGAAGCUGCGGCUAACUACGUGCCAGCAGCCGCGGUAAUACGUAGGCAGCAAACGUUGUCGGAAUUACUGGGCGUAAAGAGUGUGUAGGCGGUUUUGCAAGUUUGGUGUGAAAUCUCCCGGCUUAACGGGGAGGGUGCACCGAAAACUGCAAGGCUUGAGUAUUGGAGAGGAGAGCGGAAUUCCUGGUGUAGCGGUGAAAUGCGUAGAUAUCAGGAGGAACACCGGUGGUGUAGACGGCUCUCUGGACAAUCACUGACGCUGAGGCACGAAAGCGUGGGGAGCAAA